AUGGAGAAAUCCGUUGCGGGAUCAGCAGACGAGGGGAACGUCUCCAUGGACAAGUCAAGCUCUUGCAAGAAGCGGUGUCUUUGCGAUUGGAUCAGCGGACUGCCCGACGAAAUCCUGGUCAGCAUCCUAGACAAGUUGGAUUCCAAGACUGCAGUUGGCACGAGCCUCCUCUCACGGCGAUGGAGGCGCUUAUGGAGGCUCGUGGAAUCCUUCCAUUUCAGUGAGGUGGUUUUACCAGACAACUAUUGCUGGGUACGCCUCGGACCAAUGCGGGACUACUUCAGCACACAUAGAGAUCACCAUUUUGUUGAGUCCCUCCAGUGGUUCACAAGGCUUAAGAGAGAGACACCAUUGAGAAGACUGUCCCUUGUGUUCUCAGGCAGUGUGGAGUGUAGCGAUGUGGUCAACAGCGCCAUAGCUUCUGCAGCUCAGCAUGGUAUCAGUGACAUUGAUAUGGCAAUUUUUGGAAGGAUGGAGUACGAGUUCCCCUGGUGGUUGUUGUCUGUUUGCAGGAGCUCAGCGCUGACCAGCUUAUGCCUAAGUCAUUGCAAGCUUUCUGUCCCCCUCGACUUCGGAGGAUUCGGUUCCCUCACAAAGCUUGUCCUUGUCCAGAUGUAUAUGAGCCUGAAAGAGGUGCAAGUUCUCCUCAGGUGCUGUACAAACUUAGUGAGCUUACACCUGAUUGGCAUGUUUGAUAUCAGAAUCCUGCGGCUUCCAAAGCUUAAAGAAUUGCUAUUGUUAAUGACUCCAUCGUUGGGUAAAUUUAAGGUAGACACACCAGACCUGCAAAGAUUGGAGUACUGCGGAGAGAUGCUCCCAACAUCUACAUUUCAAUCCAUUCCAUGUCUUGAGCAUGUUUCCCUGCAAUUUACUGAUGAUAUUUAUCCAGAAUAUGACGCGGACAAGUUGGAGGAUAUCUCUACUUGUUUUCCCCAUGUCAAGAGCCUUUGCUUGCGGUACGAGAUCCCCAAGCUAGUCAAACCAAGAACUCCUGCCACCUUUUUAAACCUCAAAGUCCUAACUUUGAACAUCGCUACAAAACCUUCGGAUGAUCUUCUUUGGAUGUUCAUGUUCCUAAUUGCUGCACCAUAUUUGGCUACACUGAGAACUACUGUACACUAUUUAUCAUAUCUUGAAUCUCAUAGUGGGGUGGUAUGGGAUGAUGUCGACUUCCAGCACGUCAGUUUGAAGAAUGUAGAGAUGUAUAACUUCAUGGGAAGAGAUAAUGAGAUAGGCUUGGCGAGGCUACUGUUAUGUAGGGCUCCUAAUCUGAGAUAUUUGUCCUUCAACCAAGCUCGUCUGGAGGAAGGUGAUGAUCACCAGCUGGUGCCCCCUACCUGGCCCAUGGCUGAAACUUUUUCCCCAAGAGACAGCCAGUUCGUUCUCUCUAAGUUACUGGAGAAUGUUUCUUCCAGUGCGCGUGUAGUAUUCAUCUGA
rnacentral:rRNA from 1 species